ACUACUUUGCAUCUGUGUUGCAGCUGUGCCUUGGGAAAAAUGCGAUGUUUGUGCCAUAACUGUUCCAUCAUCUCCGAUGUACUGUCAUCAACACGGUGUCUACAAGCUGGAUAGUUAGGAAGGACUAUCUCUCAGGUAUACGCCCAAAACCAAUGGUGUACAUGUGGACGGUCAAACAUUAAAACGACUAGGCAGUUUAUGAUACAGCCGAGAGAUCUGAAGAUCGGUGUUACAAAUCUGUCAUGGAGCUUGAUGGAGCUAAAUACACAGCCAGUUUCUGGGAGAAAACUAAACAGCUUGCAGAGGAGGCAGCUGCCAUUGUUGGUCUUACUGUUCUUGGAGAAGAAGACGGAAGAAAACCAGACGUAACUAGCCCAAAUGAUGAUGUUACUGAGGCAUGG